rnacentral:rRNA from 1 species
UAGGGAAUCUUCGGCAAUGGACGAAAGUCUGACCGAGCAACGCCGCGUGAGUGAAGAAGGUUUUCGGAUCGUAAAACUCUGUUGGUAGAGAAGAACGUUGGUGAGAGUGGAAAGCUCAUCAAGUGACGGUAACUACCCAGAAAGGGACGGCUAACUACGUGCCAGCAGCCGCGGUAAUACGUAGGUCCCGAGCGUUGUCCGGAUUUAUUGGGCGUAAAGCGAGCGCAGGUGGUUUAUUAAGUCUGGUGUAAAAGGCAGUGGCUCAACCAUUGUAUGCAUUGGAAACUGGUAGACUUGAGUGCAGGAGAGGAGAGUGGAAUUCCAUGUGUAGCGGUGAAAUGCGUAGAUAUAUGGAGGAACACCGGUGGCGAAAGCGGCUCUCUGGCCUGUAACUGACACUGAGGCUCGAAAGCGUGGGGAGCAAACAGGAUUAGAUACCCUGGUAGUCC